ACUGGUGUUCCCAUUCUGUCAUCAGGACAGAACACAGAAACAUCACCAUGGAGUUUGGGCUGGGCUGGGUGUUCCUGGUUGCUCUUUUAAAAGGUGUCCACUGUGACGUGCUGGUGGUGGAGUCUGGGGGAGACCUGGUGAAACCUGGGGGGUCCCCCAGACUCACCUGCAUAGCCUCUGGAUUCACCUUCAGUGGCUACGACAUGAACUGGGUCCGCCAGGCUCCAGGAAAGGGGCUGCAGUGGGUCACAUAUAUUAGUAAUAGUGGAGGUAGCACAAGCUACGCAGACUCCAUGAAGGGCCUAUUCACCAUCUCCAGAGACAACGCCAAGAACAUGCUGUAUCUGCAGAUGAACAAUCUGAGGGCCGAGGACACGGCCACGUAUUACUAUGCAAGAGACAUGGUGAGGGGACCUUACUGGGAGCCCAGACAAAACCCUCUCUGCAGGAGGGGAUCAGUACCACCAGGGGGUGCACACUAUACACAAUUUUGGUUUGUGUUCCCAGGAGCAGGUGCACAUGGAGGUUAA